rnacentral:rRNA from 1 species
UACGGAGGAUCCGAGCGUUAUCCGGAAUCAUUGGGUUUAAAGGGUCCGUAGGCGGGUUAGUAAGUCAGUGGUGAAAUCCGGCAGCUUAACUGUCGAAUUGCCGUUGAUACUGCUAAUCUUGAAUUACUGUGAAGUGGUUAGAAUAUGUAGUGUAGCGGUGAAAUGCUUAGAUAUUACAUGGAAUACCAAUUGCGAAGGCAGAUCACUAACAGUAUAUUGACGCUGAUGGACGAAAGCGUGGGGAGCAAACAGGAUUAGAUA